rnacentral:rRNA from 1 species
GAUGAACGCUGGCGGCGUGCUUAACACAUGCAAGUCGAACGGAAAGGCCCAAGCUUGCUUGGGUACUCGAGUGGCGAACGGGUGAGUAACACGUGGGUGAUCUGCCCUGCACUUCGGGAUAAGCCUGGGAAACUGGGUCUAAUACCGGAUAGGACCACAUUUUGGAUGUUGUGGUGGAAAGUUUUUCGGUGUGGGAUGAGCUCGCGGCCUAUCAGCUUGUUGGUGGGGUAAUGGCCUACCAAGGCGUCGACGGGUAGCCGGCCUGAGAGGGUGUACGGCCACAUUGGGACUGAGAUACGGCCCAGACUCCUACGGGAGGCAGCAGUGGGGAAUAUUGCACAAUGGGCGCAAGCCUGAUGCAGCGACGCCGCGUGGGGGAUGACGGCCUUCGGGUUGUAAACUCCUUUCGCUAGGGACGAAGCGCAAGUGACGGUACCUGGAGAAGAAGCACCGGCUAACUACGUG